rnacentral:rRNA from 1 species
GGGGAAUUUUCCGCAAUGGGCGAAAGCCUGACGGAGCAAUACCGCGUGAGGGAGGAAGGCUCUUGGGUUGUAAACCUCUUUUCUCAGGGAAUAAGAAAGUGAAGGUACCUGAGGAAUAAGCAUCGGCUAACUCCGUGCCAGCAGCCGCGGUAAUACGGAGGAUGCAAGCGUUAUCCGGAAUGAUUGGGCGUAAAGCGUCCGCAGGUGGCUAUGUAAGUCUGCUGUUAAAGAGUCUAGCUCAACUAGAUAAAAGCAGUGGAAACUACAUGGCUAGAGUGCGUUCGGGGCAGAGGGAAUUCCUGGUGUAGCGGUGAAAUGCGUAGAGAUCAGGAAGAACACCGGUGGCGAAAGCGCUCUGCUAGGCCGCAACUGACACUGAGGGACGAAAGCUAGGGGAGCGAAUGGGAUUAGAUACCCCAGUAGUCCUAGCCGUAAACGAUGGAUACUAGGCGUGGCUUGUAUCGACCCGAGCCGUGCCGUAGCUAACGCGUUAAGUAUCCCGCCUGGGGAGUACGCACGCAAGUGUGAAACUCAAAGGAAUUGACGGGGGCCCGCACAAGCGGUGGAGUAUGUGGUUUAAUUCGAUGCAACGCGAAGAACCUUACCAAGACUUGACAUGUCGCGAACCCUGCUGAAAGGUGGGGGUGCCUUCGGGAGCGCGAACACAGGUGGUGCAUGGCUGUCGUCAGCUCGUGUCGUGAGAUGUUGGGUUAAGUCCCGCAACGAGCGCAACCCUCGUUUUUAGUUGCCAGCACUUAGGGUGGGCACUCUAGAGAGACUGCCGGUGACAAACCGGAGGAAGGUGGGGAUGACGUCAAGUCAGCAUGCCCCUUACGUCUUGGGCUACACACGUACUACAAUGCUACGGACAAAGGGCAGCGAGCUAGCGAUAGCAAGCUAAUCCCAUAAACCGUGGCUCAGUUCAGAUCGAAGGCUGCAACUCGCCUUCGUGAAGGAGGAAUCGCUAGUAAUUGCAGGUCAGCAUACUGCAGUGAAUUCGUUCCCGGGCCUUGUACACACCGCCCGUCACACCAUGGAAGCUGGUCACGCCCGAAGUCAUUACCCCAACUUUUCGGAGAGGGGGAUGCCUAAGGCAGGACUGGUGACUGGGGUGAAGUCGUAACAAGGUAGCCGUACCGGAAGGUGUGGCUGGAUCACCUCCU